rnacentral:sRNA from 1 species
AACAAAACUGCUGUAAGUGGGAUAGUGUUUACAACUAAGUGUUCACAGUCAGUAACAGAUUUCUUUUUUUUUCCCACUUCUACUGCUUGAUGUGACUAGCCUUAA